CGGAAGAAAACAUCGAUAUUAGGACAAGGGCAAAAAUGUGCAGUACGCCUGAACCAGAGUGGGAUAUCUCCUAGCUGGCGAGCUAGCUGUAGCCGGCUGCUUUCUCAGUGAGGAGAAUGGAUAAGGAGCUUCCUUUUGUCAUGUGGACGUUGCCUCCAGUUCUUAUAUCUAGGACAGAGCAAAAAAGCACACCAUCUGGGGGUGUCUGAUGACUGGGCAGCUGAGAAUCACCACACUACAACAUAGCCAUCAGCCUGCGAUGGAGGUCAACCAGCUCCUCUGUGUAGGCCUGAAAGUACAAAAGACUCAUUGCAAUGUCAGCGACAAACCAUGCAAAUCCUCACUGCCGGAUCCUGAAGGACUAUCGCAGUGGAAGCCACCCAGGACCGCAACAUGAACAUUUGGGCAAUUAAUUUAGAUGAAGUUGCAUUCA